CCCGAAACUAGGUGAGCUACUUCGAAAUAGCCAUAGAGCUAACCCGUCUCUGUUGCAAAAGAGUGGGAAAAUUUCCAAGUAGAGGCGAUAAACCUACCGCACCAAGAGAUAGCUGGUUACUCAAGAAAAGAAUUUUAGUUCUACCUCAAGUUUUUUUGUUUUAAAAAACCUUAACUAAACUUAAGAGCUAUUCAAAUAGGGCACAGCUUAUUUGAAAAAGGAUACAACCUAUUACAUUGGGUAAUUAAUCAAGAAAACCUGUCAAGUGGGCCUAAAAGCAGCCAUCUUUCAAAAAGCGUUAAAGCUUUACUUUUAUUCUUUAAAAUAACCUUACUACUUUAUAACCCAUCAUCAAUAUUGAGCAACUCCAUAAAAAUAUGGAAGAUAUAAUGCUAGAACUAGUAACAAGAAGUAGCACUUCUCCAAAAUGUAAGCCUAAGCCACCUUAGACACCCUACUGGCAAUUAACGUUUAUGAGCCCAUUUUAUUAACACCACAAGAAAACCUUAAAUUCCCCAACGUUAAACUUACACUAGAACAUUUAUGGAAAGAUCAAAAGAAAAAGAAGGAACUCGGCAAAUAUAUACCC
rnacentral:rRNA from 1 species